rnacentral:tRNA from 1 species
UCCCUCGUGGUCCAGUGGCUAAGGCUCUGCACUCCCAAUGCAAGGCACCCAGGUUCGAUCCCUGGUCGGGGAA